rnacentral:rRNA from 1 species
AGAGUUUGAUCCUGGCUCAGGAUGAACGCUGGCGGCAGGCCUAAUACAUGCAAGUCGAACGGGAUCUGAAGUAGCAAUACUUUGGUGAGAGUGGCGCACGGGUGCGUAACACGUAUGCAACCUACCUUUAACCGGUACACAACCCUCCGAAAGGGGGGCUAAUAUACCAUGUGAUUAAGAAGAGGCAUCUUUUUUAAUUAAAGAUUCAUUGGUUAAAGAUGGGCAUGCGGUCCAUUAGCUAGUUGGUGAGGUAACGGCUCACCAAGGCUAUGAUGGGUAGGGGUUCUGAGAGGAUAUACCCCCACACUGGUACUGAGACACGGACCAGACUCCUACGGGAGGCAGCAGUAAGGAAUAUUGGUCAAUGGGCGGAAGCCUGAACCAGCCAUGCCGCGUGCAGGAAGACGGCCCUAUGGGUUGUAAACUGCUUUUGUCAGGGGAUAAACCUACCCACGCGUUGGGUAGCUGAAGGUACCUGAAGAAUAAGGAUCGGCUAACUCCGUGCCAGCAGCCGCGGUAAUACGGAGGAUCCGAGCGUUAUCCGGAUUUAUUGGGUUUAAAGGGUGCGCAGGCGGACUGGUAAGUCAGGGGUGAAAUUCUACGGCUCAACUGUAGGCGUGCCUUUGAUACUGCCGGACUAGAGUUAAGUUGGAGUGGGCGGAAUGUGUUGCGUAGCGGUGAAAUGCUUAGAUAUAACACAGAACACCGAUCGCGAAGGCAGCUCACUAAACUUAGACUGACGCUCAUGCACGAAAGCGUGGGGAUCAAACAGGAUUAGAUACCCUGGUAGUCC